CUCGUCCAGGUCCCUCUGGAGGGACGCCUGGCAGUCGGCCCGCAGCUGCUCCCGGUCCACGGGGCCGAAGAGGCUGCGGCGGGCGGGGCCCUUCCUGGGCAGUCCCAGGAUGGACGGGUGCGUUUCCAUGGCUUACCAUUUUUUUUAGAUGCGUCCUCAGUGAAACUCAAGUGUACAGUAACUCAUGAGACUACACACGGGUCUACUUAAAGUUUUAAACAGGAGAAACUAUGAGUCACUAGCCUGGACCCUCCCACCUGACCGCCAGACAGAAACAUGCCUGAACAUAAUCUCGGAAGACAUGUUACGGCUAGUCAAGCUAUCGCUUGUCCAGCGAA